rnacentral:rRNA from 1 species
CGACCCAAAGAUGAGACUUCCCACUACACAAGUAGGUAAGACUCCAGAAAGACGAUCUGGUCGAUCGGCCCGGCAUGUACGCACCGUGAGGUGUUUAGUGGACGGGUACGAAUCAGUCGAGGUCUUGACCUU